UCCAAUAAAUCUUAAUCUGCCUCUGAGUAUAGAUUUCAGUUUCCUGUUGCUGGAAGUGGCCAGUCUGAUGACUAAUGGUCCCAUGAUCAUUAUGAUCAUAAGCCCUUAUGAGCCAUAUAUUUCUGAUUUUAAUAUAAUUUGAAUGACCCACAUUACAGGCCCCUCGCUGUCUAUUUUAGGGGUUUCUAUAUCUCUCAUCACUGUAAUAUCUCAUGCAGAUUUCUCAGCUCUCAUAGUCUCUCUCAGAAUUUUAGCUAGGUUUUUAUACCGCACUCAUCACCAUGGUAUUUAAGCGCCUUAAGAUACGGGGUUACAUUGUGGCAUUUAGCCACAGCCUGCCACAAGGGACAAUAUGGGACUGCCCCACCCCAGAGGGCGCAACAGGAGAUAUUCUGCUUCUGGGAGAAUACUUCCCAAAGCUCCCCAGUUGCACUGGAGAGACAGCACUUCCAACCCCCCACUCCUUUAAAAGAAUACAACAUACUAUCUCAUGCACACAGAGGCUCUGUCUACUCCACACCCCUUUCAGGGCUGUUGAUAGCCUCUGUACUUCCCAAAUGCAGGGCUGACAAUUCUUGUUGCCCUUCAUACAGGCUAUGCAAGAGUUCCAGACAUUCGUGCAGCAUCCACGUUUUUGGAUGGUGAGAUGGAAAAAUGAUGCUAAAGAGUAGAUUUUGUGAUGGAUCAGAAGGAUUUGUGGGAAUUUGAUCCUAAACUCCCACAAGUCACCAAGAGGAGUGAUGGCAUCCCGCAAUACAUAGCAGCAGUCCCACAAUACACUGCAAAAAUUUCCCACAAGGCAAUGCUCCAGAUGGUAGUGCAGAGGACACAGGGAUGCCUACCUACAGCGCCAUUUGUCUUCUGUCGAUGCAACCUGAUGCUGUGAGGACACUCUGCAACAGCAAAGACAGCCGUAUGUGAACGCAGUGUGUCAAAGAAGCUAUGUCAUUCGCUGUAUGCCAGCAAAACUUUUGCCAGUAAAAAUUUCUAAUUACUUUCUAGUUUCUAGGCCUUAGUUUACUUGUAGCUACUAUUACAUGAUGUAGCUACAAACUCUCAGCCCAAAUAUCUCGCACUGGCACACAUGUAUACAACUACUGUAUUUUAGUCAUGACUGUAUAUUACUAUCCCAUAAUGGGAAAAUAUCUGGACACGUGGAAGCAUUGUAUGUCAGGGACAGAACCAGAUGCUUCAGACACAUUGCAAGAAAAAUGAAGUUAGUUUCAAUAACCUUAAUGUUAUGAAUAUAAAGAAUAAUCCUCUGUCCAUUAAAAUAUACACACUUCAUAAAAUACUAUUGGAAGCAAGGACAAUUUCAAUAAAGCACAGAAAUACAGUACCGUGAUAUUAGGUAUUGAGCUGAAAAUCUGUGUAGAAACGUAAAGUUGCAGAAACCUUGCUGGAAACACGUUAAUUGAAAAUCAUAAAUAACUUCAAAUAAAACAGUCAUUAGGCACAUCAAAAGACUAGAAUGGGCAAAGUAAUUGGAAUUUAUAAACUUACAUAAUUAAUUUUUCUUUGUAGGGAGAACAAACAUUCCAAUGUCCCAGCUCUGUCAGGGCCUUUGACAAUUAGACUCCUUUUUAUAAAUAUAUUAUGUAAGUUUAUAAAUUUCAAUUAGAGCUUGUCCUAGUCUCUUGCAGUCUAAGGAUGUUUUCAUUUUGGGUUAUUCAGGCAGUGGAUGGAACCAUUUUCCUUGGUGCAUCUAUAAGGUGAUUUCAAUGAAAAUUCUUUUAACAAAAUAAAAAAAAAAUUGGAUUAUAGUUUGACUACUAAGAUUCAGGAAAAGAAACAUGAAUUUGCUUUUACAUUGCAGAGUUCAAUAGAAUAUGCCUAUACGAUAGAUUCUAUAUGUAACAGAGUUACCCUAUCCAAGGGGGGCCUUCGGAAUAUAUGAAUAACUGUACUACUAUGAGUUCAAGGUUAUGCUGUAUAUCAUUUAUAUUAAUUUUUCCCUACUUUUGCAGUAAGGUCUCAGAUUUGACCUACAGCCUCGGUAUUACCAAGUAUUUGAACCUGAAUCUGCAAAAUGUGACAUGCAAAGCAGAUUGGUUGCCAGGAAACAUGGAUUUAUUCCAUAUCUCACCUCUUCCCUUUUUCCGGAGCAUGAGGCUUUCUCAACAUCUGUCCCUCCUUCGUGUUUUUCAUGGUGCAGUAGGUCACAAUCAAAAUGAGUCUGGUGGUCUCUUUCAAACUGCUUGUCAAGAUAUGUCCCCACUGCGAAGAGACUGACUGGCAGGGGGCAAAAAAGAGGUCUAGAAUGGAGAGGUGUGGCCUGGCAGGACAGAGACACGUUGGCAGAGCUGUGUGUGGAAGAUUUAGCACACCUACCCAGACUCCAGUCCCACGCUCUCCCUCUGAAGAGAUGAGGUGAGUGGGUGGCAUAAAGGCAGCUUUCAGUAUCCUUCCCAUCCCCGGAAGCAGAGCCAAGAAACUGGCCAUAUGUGUCAGGAUUGGAUGAGCUGAAUCUUUGGGAGACAAAUGAAUCUUCAUCACUCCUGUAGUAAAUGAAGAAAAAAAAAUCUGGAGCGAUUCUAAGGGCAGGUUUACACUUAAAAAGCUGCAACUGCACCACUGUAGAGCUUUAGUGAAGACACUACUACGCCAGCGAAAGAGUUUCUCCUAUCCAGGACCGGUGCAACCGCUAGGCGAACUAGGCGGUCGCCUAGGGCGCCCAGUGG